rnacentral:rRNA from 1 species
UACGUAGGGACCGAGCGUUGUCCGGAUUCAUUGGGCGUAAAGAGCUCGUAGGCGGCUGUUCAAGUCGAACGUGAAACUCGGGGCUCAACUCCGAGCCUGCGUUCGAUACUGGAUGGCUAGAGUCUGGGUAGGGAGGAUCUGGAAUUCCUGGUGUAGCGGUGGAAUGCGCAGAUAUCAGGAGGAACACCAACGGCGAAGGCAGCUCGCUGGGACGGUACUGACGCUAAGGCGCGAAAGCGUGGGGAGCGAACGAGG